rnacentral:rRNA from 1 species
UACGUAGGGUGCGAGCGUUGUCCGGAAUUAUUGGGCGUAAAGGGCUCGUAGGCGGUUUGUCGCGUCGGGAGUGAAAUCCACUGGCUUAACUGGUGGCUUGCUUUCGAUACGGGCAGACUGGAGGUAUGCAGGGGAGAACGGAAUUCCUGGUGUAGCGGUGAAAUGCGCAGAUAUCAGGAGGAACACCGGUGGCGAAGGCGGGUCUCUGGGCAGUAACUGACGCUGAGAAGCGAAAGCGUGGGGAGCGAACAGG